CUCUGUUGGGGAAGUAUCACAAAUUUCUUAUCCUAUUUUUCUACUCUCACGCUUAUAUUUGUUACUAGCAACUGUCCUUACUGGAUUCUCCAAGAUAAAAUGCUGAACUAGACUGAACUUUGGUUUAACUCUGUGCAGCUGUUCUUACUUUUACUGGCUUGCAAACAUAUCUACAGAUUGGGAGCAUUCCAGACACAGCAGAUGCUAGCUGAGAAGAGCAUGCUGUUGGUCAGUGCCAUGGGAAAACAACAUAAGCUGGAAAUAAAGAAAAGGUGAGGGACCCUAAGAGAAAAGUGAAGAUAGGCUUGCAAGAGAUAACCACUGGAGAGAGUAGUCCAUAAAGGGAAGAAGAAUGGUCCUGCUGCCUCCAGAACCAACAACCCAUCAGGGGCAAGUUUGGAUCUCUUGGACCUAGAUGGGAUAUUCUGGAAAAUGUGAAAAUUUGAUGGUACUGCUAGGCUUUCUUGUCCAAAAAUGCAAUGGAUUGAAUAGGACACUGCAGCAUAUGACUUACAGGAGGCUGUUGAAGAGUUAAUAGAAGUAUGUCCAGAAAGCUGGCAAAAACAGAGAAGGAGGAAAGGAGGAAAAAG
rnacentral:lncRNA from 1 species